GACGAACGCUGGCGGCGUGCUUAAUACAUGCAAGUGGAGCGACGAACCCGGGCUUGCCCGGGGGCAAAGCCGCGAACGGGUGAGUAACACGUGGGUAACCUACCCCGAUGACCGGGACAACCCGAGGAAACUCGAGCUAAUACCGGAUGAGCCCGUGUCACAUCAGUGAUACGAGGAAAGGAAGCUUCGGCCUCCGCAUUGGGAUGGGCCCGCGGCCCAUUAGCUUGUUGGUGAGGUAACGGCUCACCAAGGCUUCGAUGGGUAGCUGGUCUGAGAGGACGAUCAGCCACACUGGGACUGAGACACGGCCCAGACUCCUACGGGAGGCAGCAGUAGGGAAUCUUGCGCAAUGCGCGAAAGCGUGACGCAGCAACGCCGCGUGCGGGAAGACGGCCUUCGGGUUGUAAACCGCUUUCAGUUGGGACGAAGCUUCGGCGGUGAAUAGCCGUUCGGAGUGACGGUACCUUCACAAGAAGCCCCGGCUAACUACGUGCCAGCAGCCGCAGUAAGAC
rnacentral:rRNA from 1 species